CAGUCGCCACGGGAAUACGUAGGGUGCGAGCGUUGUCCGGAAUUACUGGGCGUAAAGGGCUCGUAGGUGGUUUGUCGCGUCGUCUGUGAAAUUCUGGGGCUUAACUCCGGGCGUGCAGGCGAUACGGGCAUAACUUGAGUGCCGUAGGGGUAACUGGAAUUCCUGGUGUAGCGGUGAAAUGCGCAGAUAUCAGGAGGAACACCGAUGGCGAAGGCAGGUUACUGGGCAGUUACUGACGCUGAGGAGCGAAAGCAUGGGUAGCGAACAGGAUUAGAUACCCCGGUAGUCCCUGUCUCUUAUA
rnacentral:rRNA from 1 species